rnacentral:rRNA from 1 species
GUGGGGAAUAUUGGACAAUGGGGGCAACCCUGAUCCAGCCAUGCCGCGUGAGUGAUGAAGGCCUUAGGGUUGUAAAGCUCUUUCGCCCGCGAAGAUAAUGACUGUAGCGGGAGAAGAAGCCCCGGCUAACUUCGUGCCAGCAGCCGCGGUAAUACGAAGGGGGCUAGCGUUGUUCGGAAUCACUGGGCGUAAAGCGUACGUAGGCGGGCAAUUAAGUCAGGGGUGAAAGCCUUGAGCUCAACUCAAGAACUGCCUUUGAUACUGGUUGCCUGGAGUCCGGGAGAGGUGAGUGGAACUGCUAGUGUAGAGGUGAAAUUCGUAGAUAUUAGCAAGAACACCAGUGGCGAAGGCGGCUCACUGGCCCGGUACUGACGCUGAGGUACGAAAGCGUGGGGAGCAAACAGGAUUAGAAACCCCUGUAGUCC